rnacentral:lncRNA from 1 species
GAGAGUGUUCAGGUAUGGGCUGUGACACCCUUCUAGUUCCCCAAUGCACAUGUUUUUAUCUAAUGAGAGCUAGGCUGUUUUCAGGAAUGUGUACUAUAAUUUCGUUCAUUCUCCUUGCCUUCCAGGUCCCUGUGGAUAUAUAUCCCAUAUUUUCCACUGUUAAUGAAAUAGCAGAGUAAAGGAAGCGUCUCGGGAUUUGGCCAAUCCCUUCGUUUUAUAGCCAAGCUGAUUAAUAAGUGAAUGGCAAUUAGUGGACAGUGCUGCCACAGUAGCCUCAAUGUUUCCAUCAAUUAAAUCAGCAAACGUUGCUGUCUUAUUAUCUGCAUUUGAUGAAUGUGUUUUUUCUUUUGUUUUUUUUCCCCAUUGCUUGCGUUGGUCCUUGUUAUGAUGCAGAUUUUAAAGUUUGUUAAAUUAUUUGAAAGUAAAUAAUGUUUAGAAGUUUGGUAACGAAUAAUUUUUAAAAUAUUUUCCCGUAAUAUUUUUUUUUAAAAAUAAAUUAAUGCUAGCACAUUAAAA